CAAGAUGCAAUCUAGACGGAAGCAAUGUAACUGUGCUAUUAACUUUUAUCCGUCCUUGGGUAAUACGACUGGAUGUUACAAAUAGGUGGAUGUAUAUAGUUGAAGAGAGAAAAGGAAUAUUGAAGUCUAGAUUUGAUCUCUCUGAAAGGCAAACGAUCACUAACUUCACAUCCACACCUGUGUAUUGCAUGGAUAUAGACACUGAAGAGAACAGACUGUACUGGAUUAAUUAUGAUGGUGACAUGAAAUCAUGUAAAGACGAUGGCUCCGAUAUUAAAACAAUACUUUCAACAAACAUACGUAGAAGCUACGUAUCUAUCAGGGUCGUCGGUAAUUACAUAUAUUAUGGUAAUGCACAUCAGUUGUUAAUGGUAAAACAAAUCACAGGGAUCAAAGCCGACUGUUCUACAUAACGAUACCAGCAGAAUUGACAGUAUAUUUGAUUUUAAUUCAACAGGUAUAUUAAUGACCAUUUAUAAUCAUUUGUAAUAAUAACCUUGACUUGAUUUAACAGUUCUCUACAAUACCGUCUUUAGUUAUAAUACACCAAAGCUUAGACAUAUUAGAGUGGCAGAUUUUGCUAAAUUAUCCCAUGCGCUACUCGACAUUUAAACAUGGACACUAGCUAUGUCAGGGGAAGUAAUAUAUGUAAUAUAACAAACACGGAUACUAGCUAUGUCAGGGGAAGCAAUAUAUGUAAUAUAACAAACAUGGAUACUAGCUAUGGCAGGGGAAGUAAUAUAACAAACACGGAAAAAGGAUCAAUACACAAUACAGAUUUAAACUAAAAACGUUUAUUUGUUUAUGAAUUACAACAUAACAUGGAUUUUAAAUGUACAUUCUGAUUAAAGUAAAACGUGAAUAUUUGAUUUGUAUCUAUAUCCUCUCCGAAUAACACCACAUAUUUUUGUUAUCUAUAUGUUAUUACCUUAAUAUGUGUAGUACAUCACGAAUGAUUUAUUGUUUUGGUGAUGUUUAAAUAAAUUGGUAUACACUUUAUGAAUGCAACCGAACUUCACAUAAGACCAAGACAGCUAUAUGAAAUAACAAAUCCGUUUGCGCUCAGUUUGGGAUUGAAAUAGCUAUAUCACGAUUUCUUAGAAUUUGAUAAAAGUUAUCUUGCAAUAAUUUAAUCAAUGCAGGUCAUUGUAUAUGUGUAUCGACAUCUCAUUAUGUAUUAUUGUUCUACAUGUGACUAAACCGGGUUGUUUAUUUGCUAGUUGCUUCCUGUCUUUUAUAUUCAGCUGCUAACUUAGUAUAUACAUAUCUUGUUAUUCUGAUUAACCAAAUGUUCAUGUGUAGUUACAUCCUAACAGUAGCUUCAUUGCGUU